GAUAGGAUGGCUGAGUGAAAGGCGGUAGAUUGUAAGUCUACAUACGAGUUUAUAACUUUCUUGUCA
rnacentral:tRNA from 1 species